rnacentral:rRNA from 1 species
AUUGAACGCUGGCGGCAGGCCUAACACAUGCAAGUCGAACGAGUGGCGGAAGGGUGAGUAAUGUCUGGGAAACUGCCCGAUGGAGGGGGAUAACUACUGGAAACGGUAGCUAAUACCGCAUACCAUCGGAUGUGCCCAGAUGGGAUUCGCUAGUAGGUGGGGUAACGGCUCACCUAGGCGACGAUCCCUAGCUGGUCUGAGAGGAUUACCAGCCACACUGGAACUGCGACACGGUCCAGACUCCUACGUGAGGCAGCAGUUUGGAAUAUUUCACAAGUGGCGCAAGCCUGAUGCAGCCAUGCCGCGUGUAUGAAGAAGGCCUUCGGGUUGUAAAGUACUUUCAGCGAGGAGGCGUUACUCUCAGAAGAAGCACCGGCUAACUCCGUGCCAGCAGCCGCGGUAAUUC